CAAACAAAAACAUGCCGUUUCAACACCAUUACAAAGAUUUUUUUUUUUUGUGUUUCAUUUUCAACCCCCAAUCUAAAAAAACAAAAAAAGCUUCCAUGCUCUCUUCCCCUCCCUUAAAAUCCUCUUAAGCAUUUUCUUCUCCGGUGGAAUCCCGGUCACUGGGCCACCGCCGUUGGUCGCGCCGCCACCGUCGCCGACCACCGCGCAUGGUGGCCGGAAGUUCAAAAGGGUAAGGAGGUGCCAGGCAUGCGGGGAUGGUGUUGGCAGAAGCAUGGGGUGUGGUAGCUGACAUGGUGGUGACCAAAGAUGGUGCUAGUGUCAGAUGAAAGUGAGGUGUGGUAGCUUGUUGUCUGUUUCUCUUCUUUUUUUUUUUUUUUUUUUAUGUUGGGCUAGUUGAGUUUGUGAUUUGGGCUAGGGUUUGGGUUUCUGCUGGGUCUUGGGUAGGUUAGUUGGGUUUUUAGUCCUUGGGUUAGGUUGGGUUAUGGGCUAAGAGAUUUGUUGGGUUUAGCUUGUUGGGUCUGUUGUAAAAAGGUAAUUGGGUUGUUUGGUUUAGGGCCCAAAAUUGGCUUGUACAAUUACAACGUCAUUUUUUUUAUUACAUGAUUGCUAAAUGAGUUUUUUUUUUUAAA